CGGAAUGGGUGAGUAACACGUGNUUAAUCUACCUUUUAGAUUGGAAUACCCAUUGGAAACAAUGGCUAAUGCCGGAUACGCAUGGAACCGCAUGGUUCCGUUGUGAAAGGCGCUGUAAGGCGCCACUAAAAGAUGAGGGUGCGGAACAUUAGUUAGUUGGUGAGGUAAUGGCCCACCAAGACUAUGAUGUUUAGCCGGGUCGAGAGACUGAACGGCCACAUUGGGACUGAGAUACGGCCCAAACUCCUACGGGAGGCAGCAGGA
rnacentral:rRNA from 1 species